rnacentral:rRNA from 1 species
UACAGGGGGGGCAAGCGUUGUUCGGAAUUACUGGGCGUAAAGGGUCUGUAGGUGGCCAACUAAGUCGGACGUGAAAUCCCUCAGCUUAACUGGGGAACUGCGUCUGAUACUGGAUGGCUUGAGUGUGGGAGAGGAAUGCGGAAUUCCAGGUGUAGCGGUGAAAUGCGUAGAUAUCGUAAGGAAGACCAGUGGCGAAGGCGGGUCUCUGGACAGUUCCUGACGCUGAGGCACGAAGGCCAGGGGAGCAAACGGG